GCUGGGUUCGUCUAGCGGCCAGGAUCGAAGAGUGCCAACCUUCGGACACGGGUUCGAGUCCCGUACCCCGCACCA
rnacentral:tRNA from 1 species